AGCGCAGGCGGGAAGACAAGUUGGAAGUGAAAACCAUGGGCUCAACCCAUGAAUUGCUUUCAAAACUGUUUUUCUUGAGUAGUGCGGAGGUAGAUGGAAUUCCCGGUGUAGCGGUGGAAUGCGUAGAUAUCGGGAGGAACACCAGUGGCGAAGGCGGUCUACUGGGCACCAACUGACGCUGAGGCUCGAAAGCAUGGGUAGCAAACA
rnacentral:rRNA from 1 species